rnacentral:rRNA from 1 species
UACGUAGGGUGCGAGCGUUGUCCGGAAUUACUGGGCGUAAAGAGUGUGUAGGCGGUGUUCCCAGUCUGUUGUGAAAUCUCCUGGCUCAACUGGGAGGGUGCGCCGGAAACUGGAGUGCUUGAGCGUGGGAGAGGAAAGCGGAAUUCCUGGUGUAGCGGUGAAAUGCGUAGAUAUCAGGAGGAACACCUGUGGUGUAGACGGCUUUCUGGACCAUAGCUGACGCUGAGACACGAAAGCGUGGGUAGCAAACAGG